UUUCUGCAUAAAAAACUAACAAUGUUCAUGUUAGGUAGCUCUCCUUUCUACAGUAGUUGGACCACAUAUUGCAGCUGCUGCAGCUGAUGCCACUGUUGCGACAUUGUGCGAUGAGAACCCGUGUGCUAGGGAGAUCUUUGAGGCCGAACAGGAUAGUGUUACAUAUGAGUUUGGGUCUCCUACUGAUAAUACCGAGCCAGUGAGAGUCCCUAAAGUUGAAGAUGUGGAAACAGAAGAGGACCAUAAACAAUCAGGACUGUUGAUGUGGUCCAGGUCUGUAAUCAGUUAAAUGUGAACACUUGAUGUAAGCCAGAUCAAUCAGAACCUUUGGAUGACCUGGUAUUCAAUUGGAUAGACCUGAUAUUCAAUCGGCCAACAAUGGGUUCCACUUUGGUUCCUAUGUGGAUGAUCAGAUGUCCUGGCUGCAUCAGUUGCCCUGGCUUGAAGGAACUCUUCCUUGAGUUUGUGCGAGUCACAGGCCAUGUGUCAGCCUUAUAUCAUGUCUUCACUAGUUUCAGUCAUAGAUGGUGACGAAGAUUUGCUCAAUUGUCACUUGACCCCAUAUUAGCAUGUGCUAUUGCUUCUUUGUCCUUUGCACAAGUCAAGAUGUUCGCUGUCUUCUAUCUAACCAGUUAUCCUGACUAUCCACUCCAAUUGGUGUUGGAAUGUUAUUGAUAUGGCCUCAAG